AUGCACGCUGGCGGCGUGCCUAAUACAUGCAAGUCGAGCGAACAGACGAGGAGCUUGCUCCUCUGACGUUAGCGGCGGACGGGUGAGUAACACGUGGAUAACCUACCUAUAAGCCUGGGAUAACUUCGGGAAACCGGAGCUAAUACUGGAUAAUAUAUUGAACCGCAUGGUUCAAUAGUGAAAGACGGUUUUGCUGUCACUUAUAGAUGGAUCCGCGCCGCAUUAGCUAGUUGGUAAGGUAACGGCUUACCAAGGCAACGAUGCGUAGCCGACCUGAGAGGGUGAUCGGCCACACUGGAACUGAGACACGGUCCAGACUCCUAAGGGAGGCAGCAGUAGGGAAUCUUCCGCAAUGGGCGAAAGCCUGACGGAGCAACGCCGCGUGAGUGAUGAAGGUCUUCGGAUCGUAAAACUCUGUUAUUAGGGAAGAACAAAUGUGUAAGUAACUAUGCACGUCUUGACGGUACCUAAUCAGAAAGCCACGGCUAACUACGUG
rnacentral:rRNA from 1 species